rnacentral:sRNA from 19 species
UAUCCUGGAACGCUGAAUUGCGGUGUGCAGCCGUAAGCGGGGGACCCAAUUUCCCGGGGUGAAUCUUGCCGGUUAUACCGGUGGGUAGGGCUAGACGUGGCCCGAAUCCGUCAGCUAACUUCGUAAGCGUGAAGGGAAUACCG